rnacentral:rRNA from 1 species
UGAGGAAUAUUGGACAAUGGGUGAAAGCCUGAUCCAGCCAUCCCGCGUGAAGGAUUAAGGACCUAUGGUUUGUAAACUUCUUUUGUACAGGGAUAAACCUCUCCACGUGUGGAGAGCUGAAGGUACUGUACGAAUAAGCACCGGCUAACUCCGUG